CCUCCCCCCUCCCCUUCCAUAAAUUUCUCUUUGUAUCUUCUUUUCCAAUAGAAUCCAAAGCUUCUUUUUUCUUUCCAACUGCACACUCCGAAUAGAAAAAACAUGGUCAGCGAUGUUGAAUUAGACAGAACCACAGAGACUAUUAAGUUUCUCUGCAGUUACGGUGGUAAGAUUCUUCUACGACCCGUUGACGGAGAGAUCCGUUACAUCGGUGGUCACACCAGAAUUCUAGCCGUCAAUCGUUCUAUAUCCUUUGCAGAACUCAUGGUUAAGCUUGGAGAAUUUUGUGGAUCUUCUGUGGAAUUGAGGUGUCAAUUACCGAAUGGAAAUUUGGAGAUGCUAGUUUCUAUAAAAUCCGAUGAGGAAUUGGCGCUUCUCGUUGCAGAAUAUGAUCUGUGUUGUCCUGGUUCGAAGAUUAGAGCCGUUCUCUCUCCUCCGAAGUCUCUCAAAACCGUCUCUCCUCCUCCGUCAACUCCUGCAAGUGUCGAUUUCUGUCCAGUGAAAUCGCCUUUUAAUCCCUUCAAUUAUCAACGAUCUGGAAAAUAUUCAUCGCCGGUCAGAUAUCCCAUCGGCGUUUUUAAAGACUCUGGCAGAGUUUAUUACAAUCCUUUUCAUGGACAAGGAAGCCUUGGAGUACGGUGUCGUGACCUUUGCUGCAACGGACAAGGAAACCCUAGAUUGCGGUGUUGUGGCCCUUUCUACAACAAGAUCUGGCAUUAACGAUUAAAAGCCCCAAAUCUGGGAUUAGCUAAUUAGUUUAUACAAAUUAAGAACAUAGAUAACGGUAGGGAAAAGAAAAUUACUAAGGGAGGAUGAAAUUUUGAUUAUGUGAUUGAAAUGUAAAUUUGAAAAAGAAUUUUUUAAGUGCGUGAAUUUGUUGCCCCAGGAGUGUUGGUUGCUUGUUACGGCCGUUGGGCCUCCGAUUAUGGCCGUUAAGCAGGUUUAUAUUGCGAUACGUGUGUGUCACGUGGACUAAAUUAAUCAGUGACCAUCAGUCCAUCCCAGAGGAUUUAAUUUUCAGUUGCAUACAGGUCCUUGAAUUCUUUUAAAUUUUUGAGGCAAUGAACAGUUAUCGAUUGGGUUUGCAAUGGUCUGGUCUGACAUGACGGGACGUGGUUUGCUUCUUCUUCUUUUUUUUUUUUUUAAACAAUUUUUUUGGAUGUUUCCAUUGCUUUCUGCUAAUUUAUGUAGAAGAAAAUGCUGCCCAUAAUAUCUAGCUUGUAUGAAUUGAUAUUAUAUUAUUUGUUUGGCUAUAAGCAAUUCACAAUUAAGAGAAGAAAAGAGGUUACAUUGGCAACAUACAACAUAUUUCUUUUUGUGCAAUGAAGAAGACUAAGUUACUCUUGAUGAGGAGUAUUUUCUUAUAGUUCUUUUAGAAAUUACUGCUAUUUAGUGGGAAUUUAGGAAUAUGAUCAAAGAGUUUUAAUAUCUUUCAGUUUUAUUUUUUUACUUUGAAUUCAAAAACAGUGGCGCUAAAAUCCUACAUGAUUUACGUUAUUAACAUGAGCUGGCUCAUACAGGAUUAACUGUCUAAUUUUAUUCUUUUGCAAGCGUGUACCUUGUGCUUAGGCUCCAGGAACCCUUUGUGCCUUUAAUAACUAUGAUUUUGUAGUUAGUGAAGCAAGUUCUUCAUAUAUUUGUGGUGAAAAAUAUUGAUUGAUUUAUGUUUGUUCUCUAAGGUAUUGAUUACAUAUUGAAUUCAUGUCUGCUAGUGGAGAUGAUUGGAUAAGUAAAAUUCAGUAGAUUAAUUGAGUCAUUUCUGAUAUUAUCAAUUUAUUGAAUAGAACCACAAUGUUUGCAUGUCCUUCCAAUGUCAUGACAUUGAAAAAUUUUAAUCUUACUUAAUUGAGUCUUUUUGUGAAGAAAGAACACUUGGCUGCACUUUUUUAUUUGCCUCUGGUUAUUAUAUCUUUAGAAUUGCCAUGUGUUCACUGCAAAUUGUUCAAAUAUGGCAGGGUCAUGAUGUGGUAGCCAUUGCCUGCCCUGAACGUUAUAUUGUUGGGUUAGACAUAUCUGAGAAAGCCAUUAAGAAAGCGGAAGAGUUAUCUUCCUCGUUUCCAAAUGCAAAUUGUUUUAAGUUCUUAAGGGCCGACUUCUUCUCUUGGCACCCACCUGAGUUAUUUGAUCUUAUUUUUGAUUAUACGUUCUUUUGUGCCAUUGAACCAGAGAUGAGAUCACAAUGGGCAGUGCAAAUUCGAGAUCUUUUGAAACCUGAUGGAGAGCUCAUAACUCUGAUUUUCCCAGUAACUAUCUUUAUCACUUGACAUAUUUACAAAUUUCGUUUACCUUUGGCAAGUGAACAAGGAUAACAUCAUCUGAUUCUCAAAAAUUGGUUUCUUGGCAUUUUAUUUGAUCUAGAGUUCCUAUGGACAUCAGUGGGAUUGCUGUGUUCUUCAAAUUAUUCUGCAUUAAACAAUUUCUAAGCAAAUCAGCACCUUGCACAUUAUUUUAAUCAUGUAUCAUAGUUGUGUAGUUAAUGCUUAAUACACCUUCUGAACUCUGAAAAAAUGUUACAGAUUGAUGAUCAUAUUGGUGGACCACCAUAUAAAGUAUCAGUUUCUGAGUAAUUCCCAUCUUCAGUUUUUUUUACUGUUUUUACUUUUGCCUCAGUUGUGUCUUCUGACUUCAAUUCUUUUAUACUAUUAUUAAUGAUUUUUUAGUUUCAAAGAUUUUUUUUUCUCUUCCUACAAAGUUAAAUAUGUUGUUCUUUGUCUUGUAGCUAUGAAGAGGUAUUGUGUCCCUUAGGCUUCAAGGCAGUUUCCCUUGCUGAUAAUGAAAUGGCCAUCAAAGGUCGAAAGGAAUUGGAAAGCCCAAUUACUUCCUUCUGGCUGGGACAAGCAUAUAAGAAUUGAAAAUUAGAGGUUUUAAUAUAACCUUGACAUUUCAUCUAGUGAAGCAUCUACUUUACAAAGUGCGAUUGCAUUUACUUGAUUUGGGUUUCUGCCAACAGAGACCAUAAAAACCAUAACCAAAUUUUGAUGAUGGAGAUGGUAGAGGAGUGUUAUAGUUACUUCAACAAAGAGGGUUGUCACGAUCCAAUUCUGUGAGUUAGACCGGUACUACUACUAGGACUUAGGUAAGUUUAAAACUCUUGAAACUUGUAGAACAAAUGAAGGUGAGAUUCGUUUGGAUGGAGUUUUGGUGUCAGAAUGUAAUCAAUUCAAGUAUAUAGGCCAUGUUUGGUAUGAUGUUAUAAAAGUUGUAAUGUAAUCAUAAUUACAUUGCAAAUUUGAUUACGUUGUUUGGUAGUAUAAAAAAAUUUGAUGUAAUGGAAUGACAAUUACGUAAUGUAAUCAAUUUUACUUAAAAUAACUUAAUGAUCAUUACAUAUAAAAAUGGAUGUAAUCAUAAGUAUUUGUUUUAAUUUUUUUUUUUCUCAUUUAUUGUCAACUCUACCGCCUCCACCACCACUACACGAUUAGCACUGCUACUAUUGCCACUACCCUCAUCCUAUCAUCACUACCACUACCAUUACUAUCACUACCACCACCAACACCACCACCAUUACCGUCACUUCACCACGGCUAUCACCAUUUAGCCACUGUCACCUCUACCACUACCACCAUCGCCAUUUAGCCACCACUAUCACUUGACUACCAAUCAUUGCAAUUAUUACCACUUAUUAUUAACACUAUAUAUAAAUUAAAUAUUAAAAUUAAAAUUAUCAUUAAAUUACACUACUUAUAUUUUUAUUUUGCAACCAAACAUAGAAAUGUAAUGACAAUUAAAUUACAUUACAUUACAAUUUUGAUUGUAUUACAUAAUUGAUUCUAUCGCAUUACAUUACGCACUGCCAAAAGUAACUUAAGAGGUUUGUUUCUAUUUUUACUCAUUCACUGAUCUUCCAUGCUCAAACCUACAUUGACUUUCUGUGAUAUUUUGUAUUUUCUUUCUUUGAGGCUUCAAAUGCAUGGAUUCCAUAUACAGAACUCAUUCUGAGCCCUUAGAGUGUAUAUAACGCUGUUAAUUGAUGUUUCAUUGUUUAAGAUAUUUUGAGUUUGUAUUUUGCAAUGCAGGUUAUUGGAAGAUGGCCACCAAAG
rnacentral:misc_RNA from 1 species